rnacentral:tRNA from 1 species
GGAGAUGUAGCUCAGUGGUAGAGCACUUAGUAUGCACAAAGCCCCAGGGUUCAAUCCCCAGUACCACCA